CUGGCGGCGUGCCUAACACGAUGCAAGUCGAGCGAGACUCCGGCAGAAGAGACUUCGGGUUAAAGUCAGUCGGACGGAUAGCGGCGGACGGGUGAGUAACGCGUAGGCAAUCUGCCCGUACAGAGGGAUAGCCGUUUGGAAAACGACGAGUAAGACCUCAUGAUGCAGCACUUUCACAUGGGAGAGCUGCCAAAGAUUUAUCGGUAUGGGAUGAGCCUGCGUCUGAUUAGCUGGUUGGUGAGGUAAACGGGCCCACCCAAGGCGACGAUCAGUAGCCGACCUGAGAGGGUGAUCGGCCACAUUGGAACUGAGACACGGUCCAAACUCCUACGGGAGGCAGCAGUGGGGAAUAUUGCACAAUGGAGGGAACUCUGAUGCAGCAACGCCGCGUGAAGGAUGAAGGUUUUCGGAUUGUAAACUUCUUUUAUGAGGGACGAAGGACGUGACGGUACCUCAUGAAUAAGCCACGGCUAACUACGUGCC
rnacentral:rRNA from 1 species